rnacentral:sRNA from 1 species
ACAAACCACGUGGCUUCAAGCAACAGAAGUCUAUUCCCUCAACGUCCUGGGGGUCAGCAGUCCACAACCACAGUGUGGGCCGGGCCGUGCUCCUGCCAAAGGCUCUGGGGCGGAUCCUUCCUGCUCUUCCAGCUUCCGGGGGCUUCUGGCGCUCCUCAGCUGUGGCCUGGUUGUCACCUGGCUCGGUACGUGGAGCAGUAUGUGGGGACCGAGGGCGCGUCCAGCUCGCCCACCGAGGGCUUCCUCCUGAAACCUGUGUUCCUGCAGAGGAACCUCAAGAAGUUCCGCCGCCGGUGGCAGAGCGAGCAGGCGCGGGCCCUGCGCGGUGAGGCCAGGAGCUCCUGGAAGCGGCUGGUGGGCGUGGAGAGCGCCUGCGACGUGGACUGCCGCUUCAAGCUCAGCACUCACAAGAUGGUGUUCAUCGUGAACUCCGAGGACUACAUGUACCGUCGCGGGACCCUCUGCCGGGCCAAGCAGGUGCAGCCCCUGGUCCUGCUCCGCCACCACCAGCACUUUGAGGAGUGGCACAGCCGCUGGCUGGAGGACAAUGUGACGGUGGAGGCGGCUAGCCUGGUGCAGGACUGGCUGAUGGGUGAGGAGGACGAGGACAUGGUACCCUGCAAGACGCUAUGUGAGACAGUGCACGUGCACGGCCUGCCCGUGACCCGCUACCGCGUGCAGUACAGCCGCCGCCCGGCCUCGCCCUGACCCGCCCUCGUGGGCACCGGGCAGGUGCCUCACAGAGCACAGACGUGCCCUCGGCCUUGGUCGUGUUGGGGCCGUUUUCUUGAACGACCUGAGAGGCAUCUCCCAGCCCCUCUGCUGCCGGACAGCGCCCUUCAGGGCAGGACGCCGCCCCCGUGGCUCCCGGUCUCCUGUGGGCCUGCUGUGUGCCAAACCUGAGCUACCUGCACCCGAGCCCU